UACGGAGGGUGCAAGCGUUAAUCGGAUUUACUGGGCGUAAAGGGUGCGUAGGUGGUUAUGUAAGUGAGAUGUGAAAUCCCCGGGCUUAACCUGGGAACUGCAUCUUAGACUGCAUGACUGGAGUGCGAUAGAGGGUAGUGGAAUUUCCGGUGUAGCGGUGAAAUGCGUAGAUAUCGGAAGGAACACCAGUGGCGAAGGCGGCUACCUGGAUCGACACUGACACUGAGGCACGAGAGCGUGGGGAGCAAACAGG
rnacentral:rRNA from 1 species